rnacentral:rRNA from 1 species
CGGCAACAGCUCAAAUUUGAAAUCUGGCCCUCUCAGGGUCCGAGUUGUAAUUUGGAGAGGAUGCUUUUGGCGAGGUGCCUUCCGAGUUCCCUGGAACGGGACGCCUUAGAGGGUGAGAGCCCCGUACGGUUGGACACUAAGCCUCUGUAAAGCUCCUUCGAC